CCUACGGGUGGCAGCAGUAGGGAAUCUUUCACAAUGGGCGAAAGCCUGAUGGAGCAAUGCCGCGUGAAUGAAGACGGUCUUAUAGAUUGUAAAAUUCUUUUAUUGGGGAAGAAAAACUAAAGUAGGAAAUGACUUUAGUCUGACUGUACGAUUUGAAUAAGUAUAGGCUAAGUAUGUGCCAGCAGCAGCGGUAAUACAGAGGAUGCAAGCGUUAUCCGGAUUUACUGGGCGUAAAGCGAGCGGAGGCGGGUUAUCAAGUUUGGUAUGAAAGGCUUUUGCUUAACGUAAGUUUGUAUCAAAAACUGUUAAUCUAGAGUGUAGUAGAGAGAUCUGGAAUUCCAUGUGGAGCGGUGGAAUGCGUAGAUAUAUGGAAGAACACCAGUGGCGAAGGCGAGAACUCAGGCUUUCACUGACGCUUAGGCUCGAAAGUGUGGGGAGCAAAUAGGAUUAGAUACCCUAGUAGUC
rnacentral:rRNA from 1 species